CACGUAGGGGGCGAGCGUUGUCCGGAUUCAUUGGGCGUAAAGCGCGUGUAGGCGGCAGACCAAGUCGGCGGUGAAAGCGCCCGGCUCAACUGGGCGAGGUCCGUGGAAACUGGUCAGCUGGAGGACGGUAGAGGCGAGUGGAAUUCCCGGUGUAGUGGUGAAAUGCGUAGAGAUCGGGAGGAACACCUGUGGCGAAGGCGGCGCGCUGGGCCGGUCCUGACGCUGAGACGCGAAGGCGUGGGGAGCGAACGGG
rnacentral:rRNA from 1 species